GUCUGUGGCCAUGCCACCCUGAACAAGCCUGAUCCCAUCUGAUCUUGGUAGCUAAGCAGGGUUGGGCCUGGUUAGUACUUGGAUGAGAGACCACCUAGGAAGACCAGGAACUAUAGAUG
rnacentral:rRNA from 1 species